CAGCCGCCGCGGUAAUACGGAGGGUGCAAGCGUUAAUCGGAUUUACUGGGCGUAAAGCGUGCGUAGGCGGCUAAUUGAGUCGGAUGUGAAAUCCCCGAGCUUAACUUGGGAAUUGCAUUCGAUACUGGUUAGCUAGAGUGUGGGAGAGGAUGGUAGAAUUCCAGGUGUAGCGGUGAAAUGCGUAGAGAUCUGGAGGAAUACCGAUGGCGAAGGCAGCCAUCUGGCCUAACACUGACGCUGAGGUACGAAAGCAUGGGGAGCAAACAGGAUUAGAUACCCCCGUAGUCCCUGUCUCUUAUAC
rnacentral:rRNA from 1 species